ACUCAAAGGAAUUGACGGGGGCCCGCACAAGCGGUGGAUGAUGUGGAUUAAUUCGAUGCAACGCGAAAAACCUUACCUACCCUUGACAUGCCUCGAACCCUGCAGAGAUGCGGGGGCGCCCGAAAGGGAACGGGGACACAGGUGCUGCAUGGCUGUCGUCAGCUCGUGUCGUGAGAUGUUGGGUUAAGUCCCGCAACGAGCGCAACCCUUGCCAUUAGUUGCUACAUUUAGUUGGGCACUCUAAUGGGACUGCCGGUGACAAACCGGAGGAAGGUGGGGAUGACGUCAAGUCCUCAUGGCCCUUAUGGGUAGGGCUUCACACGUCAUACAAUGGUCGGUACAGAGGGUUGCCAACCCGCGAGGGGGAGCCAAUCCCAGAAAGCCGAUCGUAGUCCGGAUCGCAGUCUGCAACUCGACUGCGUGAAGUCGGAAUCGCUAGUAAUCGCGGAUCAGCAUGUCGCGGUGAAUACGUUCCCGGGCCUUGCACACACCGCCCGU
rnacentral:rRNA from 1 species